rnacentral:rRNA from 1 species
AAUCCAUAGGUUAAUGAGGCGAACCGGGGGAACUGAAACAUCUAAGUACCCCGAGGAAAAGAAAUCAACCGAGAUUCCCCCAGUAGCGGCGAGCGAACGGGGAGGAGCCCAGAGCCUGAAUCAGCAUGUGUGUUAGUGGAAGCGUCUGGAAAGGCGCGCGAUACAGGGUGACAGCCCCGUACACAAAAGCGCAUGUGCUGUGAGCUCGAUGAGUAGGGCGGGACACGUGGUAUCCUGUCUGAAUAUGGGGGGACCAUCCUCCAAGGCUAAAUACUCCUGACUGACCGAUAGUGAACCAGUACCGUGAGGGAAAGGCGAAAAGAACCCCGGCGAGGGGAGUGAAAAAGAACCUGAAACCGUGUACGUACAAGCAGUGGGAGCCCCACCACUAAGCCAGUGGUGAACUC